AACGCGAAGAACCUUACCAGCCCUUGACAUGCCACGGAAGUUUCCAGAGAUGGACUCCUCCUCGCAAGGGGCGUGGACACAGGUGCUGCAUGGCUGUCGUCAGCUCGUGUCGUGAGAUGUUGGGUUAAGUCCCGCAACGAGCGCAACCCACGCCCUUAGUUGCCACCAUUCAGUUGGGCACUCUAAGGGGACUGCCGGUGAUAAGCCGGAGGAAGGUGGGGAUGACGUCAAGUCCUCAUGGCCCUUACGGGCUGGGCUACACACGUGCUACAAUGGCUGGUGACAGUGGGAAGCGAAGGGGUCAUUCUUAGCAAAUCUCAAAAAACCGUCUCAGUUCGGAUUGGGCUCUGCAACUCGAGCCCAUGAAGUCGGAAUCGCUAGUAAUCGCAGAUCAGAACGUCGCGGUGAAUACGUUCCCGGGUCUUGUACACACCG
rnacentral:rRNA from 1 species